rnacentral:rRNA from 1 species
UACGUAGGGGGCAAGCGUUAUCCGGAUUUACUGGGUGUAAAGGGAGCGUAGACGGUGAUGCAAGUCAGAAGUGAAAGCCCGGGGCUCAACUCCGGGACUGCUUUUGAAACUGUGUGACUGGAGUGCAGGAGAGGUAAGCGGAAUUCCCGGUGUAGCGGUGGAAUGCGCAGAUAUCGGGAAGAACACCGAUGGCGAAGGCAGACCUCUGGGCCGACACUGACGCUGAGGCGCGAAAGCUAGGGGAGCGAACAGG